CACACACCACACACACGCACACAUGGUGGGGAGAGAGAAACCCUCCCUUUCUCUCUCUAGAUAUCUCUCUCAUCUCUCUAGAUCUCUCUCUAAAAAUUUGAGGGUUGGCGAAGAGUAAGCUUGGGAACGCGUUGGAGGCGUCGGUUCGGGUCCUAGUGCGGCCAUUUGUGCGGUGUGCUUCCGUCUUGGCGUUCACGUUUUGGUUAGAGAUGAACCCUUGAUGACCCUACGUUGCGGAUUGUUGGGCGUUCGGCGAUCAAUUGCGAGUUGGAGCCGAACCGGAUCACGUGUGCCGCGGGAGUCCGAUUGCAAGUGACUACAAGCAAUCGGAGAGCAAUAUUAGUGCCUCCUUUGGACCUGGUGGGUCGAACUUUUUCCUUGGGCGGCCGUACCCACUAGAAUCUAUGGACAAUAGUUCUCACCCCCGUGUUGUUUUUGGAGGUUACAAGUUCACACGUGAGCGGCGUGGCGGCGGUAGGAAAGGGCGUAGCUCCGUAGUUAGCGCCCUACCACUGAGACUAAAUAGCAGUACUGCAAGUCAGCUUAGCUUAGCGGUAUAGAAAUAAAAAGAACAAUAUUGUAAUAAUUAUGUUAAGAACUAGAUUGUAUUUGGAAGCUAAAAAGAGAAUGAAAAGUAUAAUAUGUGAUAUAAAAUGUAUGUGAGUUGAAUGCUUGUAAUAGUAUAGAUGUAUUUAUAUUUUCGAUACCUUCUUUAUGCAA